UCUCAUCACCUAGCGCACAGGGAGGUUGGAUCCAUUUUUUACACUCGCUGCCGGCAUCCAUUCAUCUCCUGCUGCUGCUAGUCACAAUACGCGCAUACGAACACACAAAAAAAAGAAGAAGCAAGGAGGCCAGCGAUCAGACUUGCCCAGGUGAGAAGGUGAGAUAUGAUGAUGGUCUCAUCUCCUUAGUUUCGGCCGCUUGGUUCGGAUCAAGGAGCUCUCUCUUCUCACAUAUGAAAUAUUGUCCUUAGUUUUGGCCGCUUGGUUCGGAUCAAGGAACUCUCUCUUCUCACAUAUGAAAUAUUGUCCUUACUUUCCGCCGCUUGGUUUGGAUCAAGGAGUUCUGUCUUCUCACAUAUGAAAUAUUGUCCUUAGUUUCGGCCGCUUGGUUCGGAUCAAGAAGAUCUUUCUUCUCACAUAUGGAAUAUUGUCCUUAGGUUCGGCCGUUUGGUUCGGAUCAAGGAACAUAAAAUUCACUAAAUUAUGUCCUUCGGGUUCGGACGCUUGGUUCUGAUCAAUGAACAUAAAAUCCACCAAAUCAUAUCCUUAGGUUCGGCCGUUUGGUUCGGAUCAGGGAACAUAAAAUCCACUAAAUCAUGUCCUUCGGUUCGGCCGCUUGGUUCGGAUCAAGGAACAUAAAAUCCACCAAAUCAUAUCCUUAGGUUCGGUCGUUUGGUUUGGAUCAAGGAACAUAAAAUCCACCAAAUCAUAUCCUUAGGUUCGGUCGUUUGGUUCAGAUCAAGGAACAUAAAAUCCACUAAAUCAUGUCCUUCGGUUCAGCCGCUUGGUUCGGAUCAAGGAACAUAAAAUCCACCAAAUCAUAUCCUUAGGUUCGGUCGUUUGGUUUGGAUCAAGGAACAUAAAAUCCACCAAAUCAUAUCCUUAGGUUCGGCCGUUUGUUUCGGAUCAAGGAACAUAAAAUUCACUAAAUCAUGUCCUUAGAUUCGGCCGCUUGGUUCGGAUAAAGGAACAUAAAAUCCACCAAAUCAUGUCCUUAGGUUCGGCCGUUCGGUUCGGAUCAAGGAACAUAAAAUCUACCAAACCAUGUCCUUAGGUUCGGCCGCUUGGUUCGGAUCAAGGAACAUAAAAUUCACCAAAUCAUGUCCUUAGGUUUGGCCUUUUGGUUCGGAUCAAGGAACAUAUUUUUUCUUUCUUCACGUGCACAUGCCAUGUGUGGAAAAAAUCAUAAAAUGCUCUACGCAUGGGUUCCUUACAUUUGAGUUCCAUGACAUGAAAAUACGUUUCGUGCAUUGGUUCUUUCUCACCAAUUCCAUGACGCGAGUCAUUAAAUGACUAAGCCAUGAGCCAAUACACAAUUACGCUAUGUCAUGGGUUCUUCUCAUAUGAAUUCCAUGACAUCGGUUGUAAAAUAAAAAAAUACAUAGUAUCUUACGUCGUGGGUUCCUUCAUACGAAUUCCACGGCAUAAGUCACAAGUUGAUAAAAAAAUAUAAAAAAAUCUUAUGGCAUGGAUUCUUCCAUACGAAUUCCAUGGCAUGAGCCAUAAAAUAAUAAAGUUACGCUAUGACAUGGGUUCUCUCAUACGAAUUCCAUAAGAUACAACAUCCACAUAAAAAAUACACAAUUAUGCCAUGUCCUGGGUUCUUCAAAAUGAAUUCCAUGGCAUAAACCAUCAACCAAAUAGAACAUCAAUUAUGCUCCAAGCAGGGGUUCUUUGAAAUGAAUUCCAUGAUAUGAGCGUUAAAUAUUAAAAAUGCAUGGAUGCAUCCUAUGCCUGAAAACAGGGGGCCAAAUCAAGCUUGGACCAAAUCAACCUUCAUUUUAAAUCAUAACAUAAAUGAAGUUGAGCACAAACAAAAUAAUUGCAUGAUAAAGACAUAUAUGGCAAACCAUCAAACAUAACGGCGUCGAAGAUAAUCUACGCAGGUAAACUUCAAGUUCCCACGCCGGAGUUCAACGACGACCGCAAGGAGGAUUUUUUUUGUAGCAUAUUGUAAUAGGAAUGUGUGCAAUCUCGUGUAAUAGAUAUGUUUGAAUUCUUAAUCAGGGGUUUUUUCUUCGGAGAUGUAAUUAACAGUUCUUUUAUAUAAAUAUAAGAGUUCUGGAAAUAUGUACCUACAAUGUUUGAUCUUCAUUUUAUUUUAUGCAUUGUAUGCGCUUUAAAUAUAUAUAUUCACUCUGUAUCAAUGACGUGGACGCGUGUUCUACACGCUCGCCAUUUUCCCGUCAUCAGAUUCUGGCACGCCCGGUGGGACAUAUUUCUCCCCUCAUCUUUGAAUUCCAACAUAGGAUUGCAACAUAUGAGAUUCUGAAGUACAUAAGGCAUAAAACAUUAUGUACGCAUAUACCAAAAAAUAUAGACGAAGGAAACUAAUAUAUGGUUUUCUUUAUCUUGAAGGUAUGGAGAGACAGGUUCAGCNNNNNNNNNNNNNNNNNNNNNNNNNNNNNNNNNNNNNNNUGUUCAGCAGUUUGUCACUCUCCGCUUCGGUGACCUCUGGCUGGAUGUGCCGAUCGGUCCACUUGUGGCUUCAGUUAGCAGGAGUUUGGAAACAACCGCAGUAUCACCAACUGAGCCAGAAGAAAAGGAAGUCUCCUCUACAUUGAAGGAAGGGUUCACUCAUGUUCUUACAAAGUCAGCAAAGAGAAGAAUGCGUGCAGCUGCAAGAGCAUCUAGGGAUCAGCAUGUACGCAGAGCUUCUUCAUCUACUUCAGUUCCUCCUGGUUUCACAAAGAUGUCACCCACCAAGAUUAUGAGCCAUGAGGUACCAGCAAAGGUUGUUCGCAUGACACCCGAAGAGUGGCCCGUGCUUGCAAAACGGACGGGAUCACUAAAGGUUUCGUCGCCAAGACAAUCUGCUUCAACUACAUCAACCAAAGUUGCAGUGCCCCUUACACCUUCAAAGCUUAAGGUAGGUGCACACGAAGGGAUGGAAGAAAGCUCAUAUAAGCAUGUCCGAAACACCACAGGGGCAGCUCAAAGGGCUUCCUCCGCAGACAAAGGGAAAGGUAUGAUGGUUGAGGAUGACGAGUCUUCGUCACAUGAAGAAUUGGCUCGUCCAAGAAACCACCUUCGUGUCGAUGCACCUGAAUUUAUCCCCACCAUGGGCUAUAAUCCCAUUGGACCAUGCCUAGUGGGUGAGCCAAGCAAUAAACGCUCACUCCAGUGGCAUGGGGUGUUUGUCACUUUGGAUGACUUCCAAGCUGGUCAUGUGGAUCCAACUGCUACAAUAUCGGAUCCUUUGUCCUCUUCGGUGCCAGCACCAAGGCCAUCAUUUGAAGGCUCAGUUGAUCCAGCACGUCGUCGUCGUCGACAGCAGAGGGCUCACCGUGCAUGGCUUGAUUUCCCAGUGGCGACUGAUGCGAACAUGACCAAUCAACAACGGAAGCAAGUGGCAUAUCCCAUCAGAAAUAGAGAAAGGAAGACCAAUGCAAGGAUCCGUGGGGGGAGCCAUGCUAGCUUCCAUGCCAUCAUGACACAGAAUGUCUGCCAAGCUUUGAAGGAAAUACUUCCGGGCUGCUCUACCUCUGGUGAUAAUGUUGGUGGCGCCAUCAUGCGGCGUGUAGAGACUCUAUCAAAGUGGCCAGAAUAUGAAGAAUUUGUGAAGGCAAAUCCACGACGACAAGAGUAUGUGAAGCAGGCUGCUCACGCACGCAAAAAGCGGGCUGCCCUAAAGCAAAGAGAGAUGGCAGUUCGAGCAGAUUCGGGGAAUAGUAGAAUACAAGGUAGAGAUUCUCCAUCGACAAGCCAACAAAAUGGAGGACAAAGGGUGAAAGACAGGACAAGUACAUCAAGGAAAAGCGUCGAGACCCUAGCUCCAUGGCCAGCUCAUGAGAAAAUUUUAAGUAACUCAUUUGAAGUAUUCAAUGCAAUGCCAGUGGGUGUCAAAGGGGUAAUAGACAACAGUAGACAAACCUCCUCUGCAUCAACACAUUUUAAGAGGAAGAAGCCACGCAAAACUAUUGUAGAGGGUCCACGUCGUAAGACGAGAAGCCAAAAGGGGUCAGAUUAUGAAGAACUGGGGUCGAGCUAUGGAGGGUCAUAUAAUCCCGUAUCAGAUAGUACCCCGUGUCCUUCUGGAAAAGAGAUAGAACUUCAUCAAGGUGCAAAGCAUACAGAGCAAGUCCUAACAGCGAAUGAAACUCAUCCAGUUGAGGAACAACUACUCAACCUCACAGCUGCGCUUCAACAAAAAGAAGACGAGCUGGCAGCCCUUCGUGUUCAGAUGAGCAAUAACCAGAACAAAGGAAAUGAAGGAGGUGUUGGAGCAAGUGCUAGUAGCCAGCAAGGUGGUUCUGCACUUAGCCUUGAGGCAAUUCAAAGGAUGAUUGUCGAAGGUGUGAAGAGCCAGCUAAUGCAAACCCAAUAUUCUAUGCGGCCAGGAUAUGUCAAACCAUACCCACCUGACGUAGACAUGGUUCCCUUCCCAACAAAUUAUAGACAACCGCAGUUUAGCAAAUUCAAUGGGAGUGGGUCUCCUCAUGAACAUAUAGCCCACUUUCUCGCAGCUUGCCAAGAUACGGCUCAUAAUGGAGAACUCCUCCUUAGGCAGUUCGUGCAGAUGUUGUCUGGGCCUGCCUUCACUUGGUAUAGCAAGUUGACUCCAAGUUCCAUAAAAACUUGGGAGCAAAUGCAGAAUUUAUUUCUUGAGCGGUUUUACAGCACUAAGAGGACUGUGGGUAUCACUGAGCUAACUCAAAUCGAGCAAGGGUUUAAUGAGAAGGCAGCUGAUUUUAUAAAUAGAUGGAGAAAUCUAAGUCUUCAUUGUCCACAACCAAUCACUGAGCUAGAGGCAGUGCGUAUGUGCAUGAAUAAUCUUCGCACAACAGUGGUUGUCCAGUUGCAAGGAGUGAGACCUCUUACUUUUGAAGAGUUGGCUUCAAAAUCCAUGGACAUAGAAAAUUUUAUGCAUCAUGUCGCUCGUCGAACAAAAACACCGUUCAACAAGCCUGCAGAAAAAGGUACACAACGAGAAAAAAUGUCGAUGAAGCCCAAAUCAGCGCAAGCCAUGGAAGCAACAGCAGUGAGAUCUCAGUUUCAACCUGGAAGAACACCUAUAAGGAACCAAGGACAGAAAGAUGCACAAGUUGGUAGGAGGCCAACUCUUAGCGAACGAAAAAACAUGGAGUAUUCCUUCCCUGUAGAAGAAAUUCAUGAUCAUUUCAGGGGCUUACGGGAGCUGAAACUUAUAGAGCUACCUAAGUCAAAAAGGCCAGAAGAGCCCAAUAUGUUUAAUGCGCCAAACUUCUGUCCUUACCACUGCAUAUUAGGCCAUACACUUGAUAAUUUCUUUGUGGUAAAAAAUAUCAUCCAGAAAAUGAUCGACGAGGGGACUAUUGAUACGGACCUCCUCACAAGCUUAAAGAAAGGAAAGAAGAUGGAUGCAGCAAAUGUCGCCACUCUUCAAGAUAGCUCGGUGAGUUGUGCACCUUCAAAUAUGAGGCCAACUUAUGGUGACAUGAUGUUCUCAUCAGGAUAUGAACUUGCUCCAAUAAUCUCUCCAGGCUUCAUCUCGGACGACGGUCAUGGGACCACGCCACAGAGUCAGCGUAAAAGAGAGGCUCACUUUCCCUGCAAAUAUGAUGAAUGGCUCAGUCUACCAGCUUCGCAUGGACCCCAAGAAUGGAGGGAGCAGCGGCCAAAAUGCCGUCCACUAGCCCGAGUGAUGGAAGAUGUCGCUCCUCCGCGCUUCGUGCCAAAGAUAUAUCAGCACAGGACGAAGCGCAUGAAGGUUCCGACAAGUGAAGAAUUCAACAUUCUCACUAUAGAUGUGUUUGAGGAUGAUAGCGAGUCUCUUCAUUUCCCUGAAGAAGAUGCGCCAGAAGUGGACCAGGUCCACCUUAGAUCAGGUCGCCAGUUAGUUGACCCACAUCCUCCACAUAGAAAGGAGCCUAGAAACAAAGAUGUAGCUGAGAAUGAGACAAUGGACCCGCCCUCUGAGGUGUCGGUCAAGUAUGAUGUAAUCUCGCAUUUGAAGAAAAUACCAGCUAUGCUUUCUGUGUAUGAUGCUUUGUCUCUUUCUUUGGAUUUACAUAAGGCACUAGUUACUGCAUUGUCAUUUCCUGAAGAUUAUAGAGUGGAAGUCUCACAGACAGAAGCUGAACUAAGUAAUGUGUUAAAUAUUACAUUCACGGAGGAAGACAUGUUGUUAGGCUCAAAGAAGCAUAAUAGACCUCUCCUGAUGUUUGGUGAGAUUGAUGACUUGCCAACGAAUCGCAUCAUGAUAGAUGGCGGAUCCGCCAUAAAUUUGUUGCCCCUGCGUACUUUGAAGAGGAUAGGGUAUUCACCUAAGGACCUGAGCCAAUCAAAUGUGGUUAUUCAUGGCUUUAAUCAGUCAGGUUAGGAAGCCAUGGGUACCAUCUCAUUAGUAUUGAAGUUGGAAGCAUUGUCCACAUAUGUGAAAUUCCACGUAAUUGAUGCAGCUACUUCAUACAAUGCACUGCUAGGCCGACCAUGGCUACAUGAAAAUCAAGUUGUACCAUCCACGCUUCAUGAGUGUAUCAAGUAUAAAGAGCAGUCUGGGGAAACAAUGAGAAUAUUUGCAGAUAAGAGACUAUUCACUGUGGCUGAAUCCUUCUAUGCAGAUGCAAAAUUCUAUUUUGAGCCAGUUGAAAAAGUAUACAAACCAAAGUCUGUAGUAGUACCCGAGUCAAAUGUGGUAGAGAAAAGUAUUGCAGAAUCCUCGUCCGGACGAAAGAUUUACCCGUAUAUACCAAGUGACCAAAGAAAAGAAGGUGACCCAAUAUUUCGCGUCAUCAAUAAAUCAUCCAUCAAAAGAGGUACCAAAAUGACUGUUAUCUUACCUCCUUUGGUUCAACAUAAAAUUGAACAAGAUAAAGAGGAGUUGCCUAAUCGAGAAAAUAAAAAUCAUAAUGUGGUGCAUAUCUCCGUGCAUAAUAAAGAUGAUGAUUCAUUGCCUAUUGCUUUGUAUGAUAACCGAGUCUUGUAUAUGAUGCAGAAAAUGGGCUAUGACACUCUUAGUGGCCCAUCUUUAUGCGAUGGCCGGGGACAGCGGGCGCCAUUUGAAAUGGCGUUGUCACCGGAACAACUCGAAGCUCUACAUGAAGGCCAUCCUUUGAAAGGAAAAAGACAUGGGCUAGGCUAUGAGGUUUGCAUGACCUCAAUCGAGUUUACGGAACCAACCAAGGCAUCCCCACAAAUGGAGGAUGGUAAUCAGCCAACUAUUGAUGAUUUGGAGGAAAUAAAUAUCGGGACAGCCGAGGAGCCUCGACCAAUUUUUAUUGGUGUGCAUUUAUAUAAAGAAAAGAAAGAGGAGUAUCAUAAGUUCCUUUCCGCGAACAAAGAUGUCUUCGCAUGGACCUACGAAGAAAUGCCUGGCUUGGAUCCAGAAGUGGCGGUGCAUCGUCUUGCCGUGCAAGAUGAUAUUCUGCCCGUAAAACAAGCACAAAGGAGAUUUCGACCCGAGCUACUUCCCAAAAUAGAAGCCGAGGUUGACAAACUGAUAGCUGCUGGAUUCAUUAGAGAGGUUAAAUAUCCUAAGUGGCUUUCCAAUAUUGUUUCAGUUAAAAAGAAAAAUGGUCAAAUUCGUGUAUGUGUAGACUUUAGAGACUUAAAUAAAGCAUGCCCUAAGGAUGAUUUUCCGAUACCGAUAUCUGAAUUACUCGUUGAUGCUACCAUGCACCACGAAAUGUUUUCUUUUAUGGAUGGGUAUUCCGGAUAUAAUCAAAUAAAAAUGGCCCCAGAGGAUGAAGAGUUAACGGCUUUUAGGACGCCCAAAGGCAUAUUUUGUUACAAAGUCAUGCCAUUUGGACUAAAAAACACCGGGGCAACAUAUCAACGAGCUAUGACUAUAGUUUUAGAUGGAUUAUUAUAUGUUAUCGUUGAAUGUUACAUAGAUGACAUAGUGGUAAAAUCAAAACGUGAGGAAGACCAUAUAAAACAUCUUGAAAUGGUUUUCGAGCGUUUGAGGGAACAUAACUUGAAAAUGAACCCCAUGAAAUGUGCAUUUGGAGUUUCUUCUGGGAAAUUUCUCGGUUUUGUGGUUACAAAGAAUGGGAUUCAAGUCGACCCAGAUAAGGUAAAAGCAAUUGUUAAGAUACCACCACCCACAAACCUACACGAAUUAAAAAGUUUCCAAGGUCACCUAGCAUAUAUUAGGAGGUUUAUCUCGAACUUAGCGGGACGAUGCAAACCUUUCUCACGUCUCAUGAAAAAGGGUGUCCCGUUUGAGUGGGAUCGAGCAUGCCAAAAUGCAUUCUUGGACAUUAAAAAAUACUUAAUACACCCACCCAUCUUGGGUGCACCAGUUAGGGAACACCCUUUGAUCCUAUAUACAGCGGCCAUGCCUAUGUCGUUGGGUGCUCUUUUGGCACAAAAUAAUGAGUCCGGAAAAGAAAUGUCACUAUAUUAUCUUAGUUGCACCCUUGUGGGGGCUGAGUGCAAUUAUCCGGACAUGGAUAAAAUAUGUCUGGCAUUAGUAUUUGCAGCAAAAAAAUUACGUCAUUACAUGCUAGAACACACUGUACACCUUGUGUCAAGAGCAGGUCCUCUUAGAUAUAUAUUAAACAAAAUGGUGCUUUCAGGUAGAUUAGCUAAGUGGGCGAUGUUUUUGUCACAAUUUGAUAUAAAAUUUGUGCCACAAAAGGCCAUGAAGGGACAAGCAUUAGCUAACUUCCUAGCCACACAUCCAAUACCCGAUGAUUUCCCCAUAUAUGAUGACUUGCCUGAUGAAGAGGUGUUCGCUACAUCGGUUGCUUGUUCGUCAUGGCAAAUGUACUUUGAUGGAGCAUAUCAGCGAUCCGGGGCAGGUGCGGGAGUUGUGUUUGUCACACCAAGAGAAGGAAUAAUCCCAUACUCCUUUACCCUAACUUCAGCAGUUUCAAAUAAUUCAGCUGAAUAUGAGGCUUUGAUAAUUGGGCCGGAAUUGGCUCUAAAAAUGGGGGUUAGACUCACUCACGGUAUACGGUGACUCUCAGUUAGUGAUCAACCAAUUAAUGGGAAUUUACAUGGUAAAGAAAGAGGAAUUAAUGCCUUACUUCCAACGAGCCAAAACGCUCAUGUCCAUGUUUGUUGAUCUAAAUAUUCAGCAUGUUAUAAGAAGUCAAAAUGAAAAGGCCGAUGCAUUAGCAGGUUUAGCUGCUAGUAUGUCAUUAAGUUCACAUCAAAUGAUGGACGUUCGUGUUGAAGAAUGCAGAAUCCUACCUAUACUCGCCGAAGAGGAAGAGACGACGACAUCACUUGCAAUGACUACAGACAUCUACGAGAUUGAAGUCGGAGAUUGGCGAAGCCCCUUCCUGGAAUACUUGCUCCAUGGAUAUUUACCUUUAGACUCUGCAGAAAGAUCUAGAGUUCGAAAAAGGUCAGUCCACUAUACAUGUAUAAAUGACACCCUGUAUAGGCGUUCUUUUGAUGGCAUCCUCCUUCGUUGUUUGGCGGGGAAUGAAAUUUUGGAAGCCAUAAAUGAAGUACACGCCGGGGUGUGUGGGGCACAUCAAUCGGGCCCAAAGUUAUAUUAUCAACUCCGACAUCUUGGUUAUUAUUGGCCUACCAUGUUCGACGACGCCAUGAAAUUUGCAAAAAGGUGUCAUGAGUGCCAAAUACACGGUAAUUUCAUACAUCAACCUCAUGAAUCGUUGCAUCCCACAAAUAUGGCAUGGCCGUUUGAAAUGUGGGGAAUGGAUAUAGUAGGGCCUAUUAGUCCGCCAUCGUCAAAAGGCCACAAAUUUAUCUCGGCUGCCACUGAUUAUUUCUCCAAAUGGGCUGAGCUUAUACCAUUAAAAGAGGAUAAGGGAGAAUAUGUGGAAUACUUUAUAAGGACACAUCUUAUAUAUCGCUUCGGAGUUCCUUCCCGUAUCAUGUCUGACAACGGAGGACCAUUCAAAAACAAACAUAUUGAUAAGUUAUGUUCGAAAUUUAAGAUAAGUCAUCAUUAUUUUACGGCUUAUAAUCCGGCAGCUAAUGGACAAGCCGAAGCUUUUAAUAAAACCCUAUGUAAAUUGUUAAAGAAAGUUGUGUCAAGGAAUAAGCGUGGGUGGCAUGAGAAACUCCUUGAGGCCUUGUGGGCUUACAGGACCACAACACGUACACCAACUGGAAUGACUCCUUACGCCCUUGUGUUUGGUGGAGAGGCGGUUCUACCAUUAGAAGUAUAAAUUACUUCGCUCAGAGUCGCUAUUCAGGAGAAACUUUCUGAAGAAGAAGCCAUAAAAUUACGCCUCGGUGAGCUUGAAUUACUCGAGGGUAAACGCCUUCAGGUGCUACAAAAUUUGGAAGCAUAUCAGGCUAGAAUGUCUCGUGCUUUCGACAAGCGUGUUAAAAGAAGGUCAUUCAAGCAAGGAGACCUAGUGCUCGCCGUCAUCCGUCCCAUGAAUGUUGCAAGACGCAUGGGAGGAAAGUUUGAGCCAAAAUGGGAGGGUCCCUACAUCGUAAAAGAAGUCUACUCUAGUGGUGCUUACCGGAUAAUUUCCCCAGACGGCGAGUACUGUCCGCCACCGAUAAACGGGAAAUUCCUGAAGCGUUACUAUGCUUAAAAAAGAAAUAUACUCCAAUAAACUUACGAGUAUAAACUGUGAUGCACCCAAAAAAAUAUACUCCAUACCCUCAUGAGUCUAAACUGGGCACUCAAAGAAAAUAUACUCCAAUAAAUUACGAGUCUAAACUGUGAUGCGAAAAGAAAAGCAAAUGUACUCCAUACCCCACGAGUCUAAACUGGGGCACUCAAAGAAAAUAUACUCCAAUAAUUUACGAGUCUAAACUGUGAUGCGAAAGGAAAAGCAAAUGUACUCCAUACGCCCACAAGUCUAAACUGGGGCACUCAAAGAAAAUAUACUUCAAUAACUUACGAGUCUAAAAUGUGAUGUAAAAAAGAAAAGCAAAUGUACUUCAUACCCUCACGAGUAUAAACUGGGGCACCCAAAAAAAAUAUACUUCAUACCUUCACGAGUAUAAACUGGGCACACCUAAAGAAAAUAUAUUCUAUAGCCUCACAAGCCUAAAGUGAGGCACCUUAAAAGGAAGACAUACUCCACACCCUCAUGAGUAUAAACUGAUGUACUAUACAAAAUUAAUACAGUAACUACGGAUCUAAACUGUGUGCUAUAUAUGAAAAGCAAUUACCAUAACCCUCAUGAGUAUAAACGGGAGCGCAUAAAAUAAUACUCCAAUAGCUUAAGAGUAUAAACUGUGGUGCAACAAACGAUGGAAAUUAAAUAUUCAUCGAGAAAAUGAAGUUCACGCUUAUGCAUAUAGGAGUAAAUACUCCUAACAUCAAAUGAAUAAGCAUAUGUCUAUAAAUGCUCUAAUACUUCAAGAGGCAAAACCAGCACGUACAAACUGCUCCAAUAUGAGCCUACACUAUAAGCAUACUCUAAAAUGUUAAAACUAAAACAACCCUCAUGAGUUUAAACUCCGAGAUGUCAAGUACAACUGCACUAAAAAAAAAUCCAAGCUUAAAUUGAAAAUAAAAAAAAUGCAUUGUGUAGAUACCAAAAAAACUGCAUAGCCAUGUAUAGCUGGCAUAUUAUAAAAUCAGACACUUAAAAAUGGGAAUAUUAUAAAAAAGACAUGAUGUCACAUAUGCAUGAAAAUACUUCAAGAACAAAAGAGAUUGUCAAGUUUCGAGCUCUGGACCCGAAUCAAAAUAUCUCUUCGGACCCAAACCUCGAGGGGCAUCUAUUGACAUGGCUUUUGACCAAGAUAAAAUAAAACACAUAAACCACAUAAAAUAUAAAUGCAAAUCAGCUAAAAUCUGUUUAUAAUGAAAAUAAGAAAUUAAGAGGAAUAUGUAAUCAACCGUUCAAAUUUAGGACCGACAAAAAUAGUCAUACGAUACAUUUUUGACUGUCGAUAAUGCACGCAUUAAACCGACAAUUAUAAAAUAUGACGAUAAUAAAUAAACAAUCAUCAAAUUUUCUUGCCUAAAAAAAAGGAGGGGGUCACAUAGCUCGCACGUAUGCACGCCGUCACCAAUGACGACAAUGCCAACAUAAAAUUGUCGUGAGUAACAUUAAUAUCCCCAAAAUAUGGAUUGUAUGAUAAAUGUUUGACCCUAUUCCAUCGACAAGGUGAAAUAUUGAAGCGAUACAUAAAAGUUAUAUCACACUAAUAAAAUAUGUGCAAUCUACUCUGUCAAAUGUACAUCUCAUAUCACAUGUGGUGCUACACCUUAAGUUUCAUACAAAGAAUUAAUUAACGCGUGUAUACCCACACCACAAGCCUUCUAAACCGUGAUGGAGGAAGUAUAUGAUAAAUGUUUGACAUGAUUCGAUCGAUAAGGUGAAAUAUAGUCACGACACAUAAGAAAUGCCGCGCUAAUGAAAUGUAUAUAUGUCGUGCGCUUUGUCAAGUGUUCAUCUCACAACACAUACGGCACUAGGCCUUGUGUUACAUGCAAAAGUAAUAAUAAUUAGCAUGCACACUUCUAUUCUAAGCCUUAGUAAGCAAUUAAUAACUAAUCAAGUUUGUCUCAUUAAAAAAAUGGCCAUGCAUGCAUGGCCGUAGCUCCCAAAAGGCUGUUGUUCCCUGUUUAAGAAAAAGUGAUGUGCAUGCAUGUAUAUGGGUGAGGUGUUCCUAAGGCCCACAUGUUGAUAAAGAAAAAACUCAAGCCCAGAUUGACUAAUUAGGCUGCCGGCUAAUUAGCAAAUAAAGAAAUAGAAAAAAGAAAGGAGGUGUUCCCACGAUCACACACAACGCCACGAUCAGUGGACGUGGGCGGGCGCGCAAUCAGCCACGGCUUAUCGCUGCUGCUCUCGCCUGCUAUAAAUACUCUCAUCACCUAGCACACUGGGAGGUUGGAUCCAUUUUUUGCACUCGCUGCCGGCAUCCAUUCAUCUCCUGCUACUGCUAGUCACAAUACGCGCAUACGAACACACAAGAAAAAGAAGAAGCAGGGAGGCCAGCGAUCGACUUGUCCACGUGAGAAGGUGAGAUAUGAUGAUGGUCUCAUCUCCUUAGUUUCGGCCGCUUGGUUCGGAUCAAGGAGCUCUCUCUUCUCACAUAUGAAAUAUUGUUUUUAGUUUCGGCCGCUUGGUUCGGAUCAAGGAGCUCUCUCUUCUCACAUAUGAAAUAUUGUCGUUAGUUUCUGCCGCUUGGUUCGGAUCAAGGAGUUCUUUCUUCUCACAUAUGAAAUAGUUAGUUUCUGCCGCUUGGUUCGGAUCAAGGAGUUCUUUCUUCUCACAUAUGAAAUAUUGUACUUAGUUUCGGCCGCUUGGUUCGGAUCAAGGAGUUCUUUCUUCUCACAUAUGGAAUAUUGUCCUUAGGUUCGGCCGUUUGAUUCGGAUCAAGGAACAUAAAAUUCACUAAAUUAUGUUCUUCGGUUCAGCCGCUUGGUUCGGAUCAAGGAACAUAAAAUCCACUAAAUCAUAUCCUUAGGUUCGGCCAUUUUGUUCGGAUCAAGGAACAUAAAAUCCACUAAAUCAUGUCCUUCGGUUCGACUGCUUGGUUCGGAUCAAGGAACAUAAAAUCCACCAAAUCAUAUCCUUAGGUUCAACCGUUUGGUUCGGAUCAAGGAACAUAAAAUCCACCAAAUCAUAUCCUUAGGUUCAACCGUUUGGUUCGGAUCAAGGAACAUAAAAAUCCACUAAAUCAUGUCCUUCAGUUCGGACGCUUGGUUCGGAUCAAGGAACAUAAAAUCCACCAAAGCAUAUCCUUAGGUUCGGCCGUUUGGUUCGGAUCAAGGAACAUAAAAUCCACCAAAUCAUAUCCUUAGGUUCGGCCGUUUGGUUCGGAUCAAGGAACAUAAAAUCCACCAAAUCAUAUCCUUAGGUUCGGCCGUUUGGUUCGGAUCAAGGAACAUAAAAUCCACCAAAUCAUAUCCUUAGGUUCGACCGUUUGUUUCGGAUCAAGGAACAUAAAAUUCACUAAAUCAUGUCCUUAGAUUCGGCCGCUUGGUUCGGAUAAAGGAACAUAAAAUCCACCAAAUCAUGUCCUUAGGUUCGGCCGUUCGGUUCGGAUCAAGGAACAUAAAAUCUACCAAACCAUAUCCUUAGGUUCGGCCGCUUGGUUCGGAUCAAGGAACAUAAAAUUCACCAAAUCAUGUCCUUAGGUUUGGUCUUUUGGUUCGGAU
rnacentral:lncRNA from 1 species